CCUACGGGAGGCUGCAGUGGGGAAUAUUGGACAAUGGGGGGAACCCUGAUCCAGCCAUGCCGCGUGUGUGAAGAAGGCCCUCGGGUUGUAAAGCACUUUCAGUGAGGAAGAACGCCUGGUGGUUAAUACCCAUCAGGAAAGACAUCACUCACAGAAGAAGCACCGGCUAACUCCGUGCCAGCAGCCGCGGUAAUACGGAGGGUGCGAGCGUUAAUCGGAAUUACUGGGCGUAAAGCGCGCGUAGGUGGCUUGAUAAGCCGGUUGUGAAAGCCCCGGGCUCAACCUGGGAACGGCAUCCGGAACUGUCAAGCUAGAGUGCAGGAGAGGAAGGUAGAAUUCCCGGUGUAGCGGUGAAAUGCGUAGAGAUCGGGAGGAAUACCAGUGGUGAAGGCGGCCUUCUGGACUGACACUGACACUGAGGUGCGAAAGCGUGGGUAGCAAACAGGAUUAGAUACCCCAGUAGUC
rnacentral:rRNA from 1 species